GACGAACGCUGGCGGCGUGCUUAACACAUGUAAGUCGAACGGAAAGGCCCUGCUUUUGUGGGGUGCUCGAGUGGCGAACGGGUGAGUAACACGUGAGUAACCUGCCCUUGACUUUGGGAUAACUUCAGGAAACUGGGGCUAAUACCGGAUAGGAGCUCCUGCUGCAUGGUGGGGGUUGGACAGUUUCGGCGGUUGGGUAUGGACUCGCGGCUUAUCAUCUUUUUGGUGGGGUAGUGGCUUACCAAGGCUUUGACGGGUAGCCGGCCUGAAAGGGUGACCGGCAACAUUGGGACUGAGAUAAGGCACAGACUCAUACGGGAGGCAGCAGUGGGGAAGAGUGAACAAGGGGCGGAAGCAUGAGGCAGCAAAGCAGCGUGCGGGAUGACGGCCUUCGGGUUGUAAACCGCUGUCGCCUGUGACGAAGCGUGAGUGACGGUAAUGGGUAAAGAAGCACCGGCUAACUACGUG
rnacentral:rRNA from 1 species